AUGGGCGGCGGCGGUGGCUGUGCAGACGGGGACGGGGACUGGGCGGUCCUUCCCUCCCCUCCGCUCUCUGACGUCACCGUCGCCCUCGUCGGGAAGAUCAGCAUCGGGAAGAACGCCAUCGCCAACUGCAUCCUCGGCACCCACGCCUUUGCGCCCGAGUUCGCCUACGUGAGCGUCACCGAGACCUGCCAGAAGAGCAGCGCCACCUUCCACGACGGCUGCGGCGCCACACGCACCGUCAACGUCAUUGACACCCCAGGCUUAUUAUUUGACAUGGAGAUCUCAACUGAAGAUUCCCGUAAAGAAAUCAUCAAAUGUAUUGAGAUGAUUAAAGAUGGCAUACAUGCCAUGAUUAUGGUGUUCUCGGCCACAUCACUGUUUUCUUGUGAAGAGCAGAAUAUAGAAAUGAUAAAGCUAUGCCAAGAUAGGGUUGUUCUCUUUGACAACAUGACCGAUAAUAUUGAGUGCCGUGAGAUGCAACGCAGGAAAUUGCUUGCUGCAGUUGACUUUGUUAUAUCAAGCAAUGGUGGCAAAGCAUUUUUCUACCAGAUGCUCCCUCACAUUCAGGAAGCAAAAGACGGACAACAUGAGAUUAGUGUUCAUGGAUGUUCAGCAGAACGGAUUUAUGAACAACCGACAAGGAUAACAAAGAAGGUUGAUGAAAACCUUAAUUGUAUGGAAGUGGAGAUCCGGAGACUGAGGAAGAGCCUGAGGCUGAGAAAGCUGGACGAGAAGAAGAUGAGCCAGCAGAAAGAGGAGAUCAACAAGCUCAGUGGGGAACUCGAGAAAGCAAGGCGGGAAGAGUUGUCGCGCCAGGAGAAGGAGAUCCGGAGGCUGAGGGAGAAGCUAGCGAAAUCUCGGAAGCAGCAUGACAAUGUUAAACAAGAAAUUACAAAUGCAGAAAUGCUGAGAAGGCUGGUCGAGGUGAAGGUGAACGAGCAGAACGAGGAGAUGACUAAGCUCAGAGAGGAACUCGACAAGGCAAGGCAGGAAGAGAUGUCGUGCAAGGAGGAGAUCCAGAGGCUCAAGGAGAGCCUAAAGAAAUCAGAGAAAGAGCAUGAUAAUGUCAAACAAGAACUGAAAAACUCAGAGUGCCUGAGAAAGCUGGACGAAGAGAAGAUGAACGAGCAGAAAGAGGAGAUCAACAAGUUCAUUGCACUUGCUUGUUGA
rnacentral:rRNA from 1 species